GGUUCGAGUAUGCACUAAGUUUAUUCAGACUUAAGCUUUUCAAAGUUUUCUGAUAAUGUGAAAUGAUAUUUGUGCCAAAUUACAACGAAAAUUUAAACAUAAAUUUGAAAUAUGUCAAUAAAAGUCAAGUGUGAUUCUUCUAAAUUAUGCCAAGAUUUAGUAAUUAGUAGUAAUUUAGUAGUAAAAAUUAUUGUAAUGCGCAGUUGAUAUCAGGGAUACUAUUAAAUUAAGUCUAUAUAUCCUCGGAGGAAUCGUUCGGUUAUAGGUAGCAAUCAAAAAACUGGAGGUGUCGAUUGGCCAUGGGUAAAUAAGUAAAUAAAUAAAUAUAUGCGCAUUAAAGCAUAAGUACAAAAUAACGGCAAGCAUCGCUUUUGUUUUUGUUAUUUUGUGGAAAGGGCAUACACAAGAUUAAAGACAAAACUUCGAUUACGCUUUACAUCGUUGUUUGUUUACGCGUCUUUGUUUUAUUUUGUGCUACUCUUUUGCUCAAUCGCAGCUUUGUUUCCUAACUGAUGAAAUUUUUUGCAAUCAUUUGAGUUGAGAAGUGCAAAGCGGAUCCUCGAUCAAUUAUUAGAUUCAAUAACUGAGGACCAGUUGAGAAAGGCCUUGCAGCUCAAAAAAAAAAAGAUAUUUUAAAACUCAAGUUGCCUUAAAGUAAUAAAAGUAUCCGACUUAUUAAAAUAAAGAAAAAUUAAAAUUAAAU